rnacentral:misc_RNA from 1 species
AUACACAGUAGCUAACCCCAGGCGAGUAAGGUAUUCGCUGCCUACAUCCGGUGCUUUUUUUUCUAAAUGGCGGAGGAUGAAGGUGAUUAUGUCCAAGAAUUUUCUUUAUUGGAAUCGACAGGACAACGUGUUGUCUUAAAGAUUAACGUUAAAGAAGGGCAUGUAAGAUAUAUUAGGAAGGGAGAGGUUAAACAAUCGUGCAUGGUACAAGAUCUUACAGUCUGUAGCAAGAAUGAUUUACAAAUAGCAGUCAAUAUUGGGCCACUUGAAAAAAUAUUGUCGGCUGAAAAUUCCCAGAGCAAAGUGGAAACCCUAAAAAACAUUGAAGCAAUUAUGGAACAACACGCGAUCAAACCUAGCAUCUACUCAAAAGAAGGAUCUUACAUAAUAAAAGAAGGAUUUUUGAAUAAAAAGGGAAAUACCGUACUUGAAAAAUGGGCCAGGCGAAAAGUGUGCAUCAAACGAGGACUUUUAAUCUAUUACCCAGAGCAAUCAGAGAAUGUCAUGUGGAGGCCAUAGGGACAGACAAGUUCAACGUCACAGUACCAGAAAGAACCUACAGUUUUCAGAUUCCAGACUCUGUACGAGACAAAGAGGAAGAACGGGAUAACUGGAUAAAAUGCAUAAGAACUGCUAUAACUGACAGAGUCCCACCCCAAAGACCCGGAUUUCAUCAGGUGUUACCAGAUGAUGUUAUUCGAAAGAGCAUCAAACGGAAAACCAUCCCCAAAUCUUUGGUAGUAAAGCAAGGCUACCUUGAUAAAAGGGGAAAUGCGAAAGUCAAAGUCUGGAAUGAGCGUUUUGUCAGUGUGGAAAUUGGAAAGUUUUCAUACGCUCUCCCAAACAAAACAGAAAAUACGUUAAAUGUGGUCAAUCUUCAAGAGGGUGAAGUUUCAGUUAUAUCCACUAAAACCUAUGGGUUUGAUGUACAGAUUCCUGGUCGAACCUUCCAUUUUAGAAUUCAAGCCAAAGUGGAAAACAAAGAGGAAGAACAUUUAAAUUGGAUGAAAGCUUUUAACAAAGCAUGCUGCAGCACGACAUCUUCUGAGUUAAUAAAAGGAGAAAACGAAGAAAAUGACGACAACACUAAUAAGAAAGAAAAGGUAACUUAAAAUAUAUAUGAUAACAUGUUAUAUGAUUACAUGUUACAUAACGUGAUGGCAUGUUAUUUCUUUUUUUUUAAAUUAGAUAUUAUAAAAAUGUAUGGGUUUUUUUCUUCAUUUUUAAUCGCUUUAAACCUCAUCAUAUUAUUGUAUAUUAUUCAUGAAUAUGUGUAGGCUUUUAACAAAGCAUGCUGCAGCACGACAUCUUCUGAGUUAAUAAAAGGUGAAAACGAAGAAAAUGACGACGACAACACUCAAAAGAAAGAAAAGGUGACAUAAAAUAUAUAUGAUAACAUGUUAUAUGAUUACAUGUUACAUAACGUGAUGGCAUGUUAUUUCUUUUUUUUUAAAUUAGAUAUUAUAAAAAUGUAUGUUUUUUUCUUCAUUUUUAACCGCUUUAAACCUCAUCAUAUUAUUGUAUAUUAUUUAUAUUUAAUCAACUUAUUCAAUUCAUUAGGGGUUUGAUUUUAACAGGAAUUAAAGAGUGUGACGGACAACACUGAUGAUGAUGAAAGCUGUAGCGACACUUCGAGAAUUCCAUUAAAAGGGAGCUUUAAGGAAAGUAAACUGGGUUCAACAAGAUCGUACCGGAAGCACCUCAGAGGCGACAGUUUAGAUGAGCACCUCUAAAUCCGGUCUUUUAUGUUAAUCAUUUUGAGGAAAAACGGGAAAACAUUAUCUCUGUAUGGAUGCAAAUCUACAUGUUUAUUUUUCAUAUGAUAUUUUAAUAUUGAAAGCAUGUAAAUGUUUUUUACAUAUCACUAGUUAGUAGUUUUCAGUCAUUUUAAAGAAAAUUCAUGAUUUUCUUCUUUUGCGAGAAAUAUCACAAAAAGCAAUCUUUAAGUUUUGGUUCUCGUAUUUAUUAACGAGGUUAUUUGUAUGAAAACUAGUCUUAUAUACUCUAUGCUUUAUAUAUUUUUCUUAAGAAUCACAGUAACACAGUCAAUAAAACAAUAACGAUAACGUC